rnacentral:snRNA from 1 species
UAGUGCUGGUAUGAUCGCAU